rnacentral:rRNA from 1 species
AGAGUUUGAUCAUGGCUCAGAUUGAACGCUGGCGGCAGGCCUAACACAUGCAAGUCGGGCGAAUCUAGCUUGCUAGAUGAGCGGCGAACGGGUGAGUAACGCGUAGGAAUCUGCCUGGUAGUGGGGGACAACGUUCCGAAAGGGACGCUAAUACCGCAUACGCCCUACGGGGGAAAGCUGGGGAUCUUCGGACCUAGCGCUAUCAGAUGAGCCUGCGUCGGAUUAGCUAGUUGGUGGGGUAAAGGCCCACCAAGGCGACGAUCCGUAACUGGUCUGAGAGGAUGAUCAGUCACACCGGAACUGAGACACGGUCCGGACUCCUACGGGAGGCAGCAGUGGGGAAUAUUGGACAAUGGGGGCAACCCUGAUCCAGCCAUGCCGCGUGUGUGAAGAAGGCCUUCGGGUUGUAAAGCACUUUAGGUCGGGAGGAAGGUUCGCUGGCUAAUAUCCAGCGGAAUUGACGUUACCGACAGAAUAAGCACCGGCUAACUCCGUGCCAGCAGCCGCGGUAAUACGGAGGGUGCAAGCGUUAAUCGGAAUUACUGGGCGUAAAGCGCGCGUAGGCGGCUCGGUCAGUCGGGUGUGAAAUCCCUGGGCUCAACCUGGGAACUGCAUUCGAUACUGCCGAGCUAGAGUGUGGGAGAGGGUAGUGGAAUUCCCGGUGUAGCGGUGAAAUGCGUAGAUAUCGGGAGGAACAUCAGUGGCGAAGGCGACUGCCUGGCCCAACACUGACGCUGAGGUGCGAAAGCGUGGGUAGCAAACAGGAUUAGAUACCCUGGUAGUCCACGCCGUAAACGAUGUCGACUAGCCGUUGGAGACCUUAGAGUCUUUAGUGGCGCAGCUAACGCGAUAAGUCGACCGCCUGGGGAGUACGGCCGCAAGGUUAAAACUCAAAGGAAUUGACGG